AACGAACGCUGGCGGCAUGCCUAACACAUGCAAGUCGAACGAUUGCCUUCGGGUGAUAGUGGCGCCCGGGUGCGUAACGCGUGGGAAUCUGCCCUUAGGUUCGGCAUAACAGCUGGAAACGGCUGCUAAUACCGGAUGAUAUCGCGAGAUCAAAGAUUUAUCGCCUGAGUGUGAGCCCGCGUUGGAUGGGGUAGUGGGUGGGGUACAGGCCUUCCAAGCCGGCGAUCCAUCGCUUGUCUGAGAGGAUGAUCAGCCACACUGAGACCGGGCCACGACCCAGACUCCAACGAACGCAGGAGUGGGGAAUAUUGGGCAAUGGGCGCAAGCCUGAUCCAGCAAUGCCGCGUGAGUGAUGAAGGCCCUAGGGUUGUAAAGCUCUUUUACCCGGGAAGAUAAUGACGGUACCGGGAGAAUAAGCCCCGGCUAACUCCGUG
rnacentral:rRNA from 1 species